rnacentral:rRNA from 1 species
GGGUUGUGAGGUUAAGCGACUAAGCGUACACGGUGGAUGCCCUGGCAGUCAGAGGCGAUGAAGGACGUGCUAAUCUGCGAAAAGCGUCGGUAAGGUGAUAUGAACCGUUACAGCCGGCGAUGUCCGAAUGGGGAAACCCAGUGCAAUUCGUUGCACUAUCGUUAACUGAAUACAUAGGUUAACGAGGCGAACCGGGGGAACUGAAACAUCUAAGUACCCCGAGGAAAAGAAAUCAACCGAGAUUCCCCCAGUAGCGGCGAGCGAACGGGGAGCAGCCCAGAGUCUGAAUCAGCUUGUGUGUUAGUGGAACGGUCUGGAAAGUCCGACGGUACAGGGUGAUAGUCCCGUACACCAAAAUGCACAGGUUGUGAACUCGAAGAGUAGGGCGGGACACGUGGUAUCCUGUCUGAAUAUGGGGGGACCAUCCUCCAAGGCUAAAUACUCCUGACUGACCGAUAGUGAACCAGUACCGUGAGGGAAAGGCGAAAAGAACCCCGGCGAGGGGAGUGAAAAAGAACCUGAAACCGUGUACGUACAAGCAGUGGGAGCACCUUCGGGUGUGACUGCGUACCUUUUGUAUAAUGGGUCAGCGACUUAUAUUCUGUAGCAAGGUUAACCGUAUAGGGGAGCCGCAGGGAAACCGAGUCUUAACUGGGCGUUAAGUUGCAGGGUAUAGACCCGAAACCCGGUGAUCUAGCCAUGGGCAGGUUGAAGGUUGGGUAACACUAACUGGAGGACCGAACCGACUAAUGUUGAAAAAUUAGCGGAUGACUUGUGGCUGGGGGUGAAAGGCCAAUCAAACCGGGAGAUAGCUGGUUCUCCCCGAAAGCUAUUUAGGUAGCGCCUCGUGAACUCAUCUUCGGGGGUAGAGCACUGUUUCGGCUAGGGGGUCAUCCCGACUUACCAACCCGAUGCAAACUACGAAUACCGAAGAAUGUUAUCACGGGAGACACACGGCGGGUGCUAACGUCCGUCGUGAAGAGGGAAACAACCCAGACCGCCAGCUAAGGUCCCAAAGUCAUGGUUAAGUGGGAAACGAUGUGGGAAGGCACAGACAGCCAGGAUGUUGGCUUAGAAGCAGCCAUCAUUUAAAGAAAGCGUAAUAGCUCACUGGUCGAGUCGGCCUGCGCGGAAGAUGUAACGGGGCUAAACCAUGCACCGAAGCUGCGGCAGCGACACUAUGUGUUGUUGGGUAGGGGAGCGUUCUGUAAGCCUGCGAAGGUGUGCUGUGAGGCAUGCUGGAGGUAUCAGAAGUGCGAAUGCUGACAUAAGUAACGAUAAAGCGGGUGAAAAGCCCGCUCGCCGGAAGACCAAGGGUUCCUGUCCAACGUUAAUCGGGGCAGGGUGAGUCGACCCCUAAGGCGAGGCCGAAAGGCGUAGUCGAUGGGAAACAGGUUAAUAUUCCUGUACUUGGUGUUACUGCGAAGGGGGACGGAGAAGGCUAUGUUAGCCGGGCGACGGUUGUCCCGGUUUAAGCAUGUAGGCUGGUUAUCCAGGCAAAUCCGGAUAAUCAAGGCUGAGGUGUGAUGACGAGGCACUACGGUGCUGAAGUAACAAAUGCCCUGCUUCCAGGAAAAGCCUCUAAGCAUCAGGUAACAUCAAAUCGUACCCCAAACCGACACAGGUGGUCAGGUAGAGAAUACCAAGGCGCUUGAGAGAACUCGGGUGAAGGAACUAGGCAAAAUGGUGCCGUAACUUCGGGAGAAGGCACGCUGGUGUGUAGGUGAAGUCCCUGCGGAUGGAGCUGAGACCAGUCGAAGAUACCAGCUGGCUGCAACUGUUUAUUAAAAACACAGCACUGUGCAAACACGAAAGUGGACGUAUACGGUGUGACGCCUGCCCGGUGCCGGAAGGUUAAUUGAUGGGGUUAUCCGUAAGGAGAAGCUCUUGAUCGAAGCCCCGGUAAACGGCGGCCGUAACUAUAACGGUCCUAAGGUAGCGAAAUUCCUUGUCGGGUAAGUUCCGACCUGCACGAAUGGCGUAAUGAUGGCCAGGCUGUCUCCACCCGAGACUCAGUGAAAUUGAACUCGCUGUGAAGAUGCAGUGUACCCGCGGCAAGACGGAAAGACCCCGUGAACCUUUACUAUAGCUUGACACUGAACAUUGAGCCUUGAUGUGUAGGAUAGGUGGGAGGCUUUGAAGCGUGGACGCCAGUCUGCGUGGAGCCAACCUUGAAAUACCACCCUUUAAUGUUUGAUGUUCUAACGUUGGCCCCUGACCGGGGUUGCGGACAGUGUCUGGUGGGUAGUUUGACUGGGGCGGUCUCCUCCCAAAGCGUAACGGAGGAGCACGAAGGUUAGCUAAUCCUGGUCGGACAUCAGGAGGUUAGUGCAAUGGCAUAAGCUAGCUUGACUGCGAGCGUGACGGCGCGAGCAGGUGCGAAAGCAGGUCAUAGUGAUCCGGUGGUUCUGAAUGGAAGGGCCAUCGCUCAACGGAUAAAAGGUACUCCGGGGAUAACAGGCUGAUACCGCCCAAGAGUUCAUAUCGACGGCGGUGUUUGGCACCUCGAUGUCGGCUCAUCACAUCCUGGGGCUGAAGUAGGUCCCAAGGGUAUGGCUGUUCGCCAUUUAAAGUGGUACGCGAGCUGGGUUUAGAACGUCGUGAGACAGUUCGGUCCCUAUCUGCCGUGGGCGCUGGAGAAUUGAGGGGGCUGCUCCUAGUACGAGAGGACCGGAGUGGACGCAUCACUGGUGUUCGGGUUGUCAUGCCAAUGGCACUGCCCGGUAGCUAAAUGCGGAAGAGAUAAGUGCUGAAAGCAUCUAAGCACGAAACUUGCCCCGAGAUGAGUUCUCCCUGAGACUAUAAGUCUCCUGAAGGAACGUUAAAGACGAUGACGUUGAUAGGCCGGGUGUGUAAGCGCAGCGAUGCGUUGAGCUAACCGGUACUAAUGAACCGUGAGGCUUAACCUUACAACGCCGAAG